UCCGGUUGGGGAGCCAACUGAUCAGAUACUCCAACUCUGUGGGGAGACUCUGCUUGAGGAAUGCUCUGCGGGGAAUAGCACCGACUUCUCACUCAGGCUGGAGAAUAGCACUGCUGUUGGAGAAAGGAUCCCAAUCCAUUCGGGGACUCCGCUUGGGACAUAAUCAAAGUAACUUCUCUGGGGAAAGACCAUCCCAUCCACAAGUAGGAUAAACUCUGCUGGAGAUACUUUUCACAGAACCGGAUCCACUCGGGGAAUAUGUUGGGGAAAACAUCAACACAACCUCUGCCCGAGAGAUCUGCUAGGGGAACACAUCAC
rnacentral:lncRNA from 1 species